rnacentral:rRNA from 1 species
GACGUAGGGCGCGAGCGUUGUCCGGAUUUAUUGGGCGUAAAGAGCUCGUAGGCGGCUUGUCGCGUCGAAUGUGAAAACUCGGGGCUCAACUCCGAGCUUGCAUUCGAUACGGGCAGGCUAGAGUUCGGUAGGGGAGACUGGAAUUCCUGGUGUAGCGGUGAAAUGCGCAGAUAUCAGGAGGAACACCGGUGGCGAAGGCGGGUCUCUGGGCCGAUACUGACGCUGGGGAGCGAAAGCGUGGGGAGCGAACGAGG